rnacentral:rRNA from 1 species
CCCUUAGAUGUUCUGGGCCGCACGCGCGCUACACUGACUGGUGCAACAAGUGUCGCUCCUUGGCCGAUAGGCCUGGGCAAUCUUUGAACGCUGUUCGUGAUUGGGAUAGACCUUUGCAAUUAUGGGUCUUCAACGAGGAAUUCCUAGUAAACGCAAGUCAUCAGCUUGCAUUGAUUACGUCCCUGCCCUUUGUACACACCGCCCGUCGCACCUACCGAUUGAAUGGUCCGGUGAAAUCUCGGGACGGCGGCUUGGUCGCUUGCGUCCGACUGCUGAAACUUGAUUAAACCAUAUCAUUUAGAGGAAGGUGAAGUCGUAACA